rnacentral:rRNA from 1 species
UACGGGGGGGGCAAGCGUUGUUCGGAAUUACUGGGCGUAAAGGGCGCGUAGGCGGCCUGCUAAGUCGGACGUGAAAUCCCUCGGCUCAACCGGGGAACUGCGUCCGAUACUGGCGAGGCUUGAAUCCGGGAGAGGGAUGUGGAAUUCCAGGUGUAGCGGUGAAAUGCGUAGAGAUGUGGAGGAACACCGAUGGCGAAGGCAGCCCCCUGGGUCAAGAUUGACGCUCAUGCACGAAAGCGUGGGGAGCAAACAAGG